GGUACAACCCUCCGAAAGGGGGGCUGAUACCGCGCACAUCCCCUGGGGGCAUCCCCGGGGGAGGAAAGCCCUUUUGGGCGGGCGGGGAUGGGCAUGCGGCGCAUUAGGAAGACGGCGGUGUGACGGACCACCGUUCCGACGAUGCGUAGGGGUUCUGAGAGGAAGGCCCCCCACACUGGUACUGAGACACGGACCAGACUCCUACGGGAGGCAGCAGUGAGGAAUAUUGGUCAAUGGCCGGAAGGCUGAACCAGCCAAGCCGCGUGAGGGAGGAAGGCGCAGAGCGUCGCAGACCUCUUUUGCCGGGGGACAAAAGGCCGGACUCGUCCGGUCCUGAGGGUACCCGGAGAAAAAGCAUCGGCUAACUCCGUGCCAGCAGCCGCGGUAAUACGGAGGAUGCGAGCGUUAUCCGGAUUCAUUGGGUUUAAAGGGUGCGCAGGCGGGCCUUUAAGCCGGCGGUGAAAUCGCGGGGCUCAACCCCGCCGAGCCGUCGGAACUGGGGGCCUUGAGUGCGGCGGAGGCAUGCGGAAUGCGCGGUGUAGCGGUGAAAUGCAUAGAUAUCGCGCAGAACCCCGAUUGCGAAGGUAGCGUGCCGUGCCGCCACUGACGCUGAGGCACGAAAGCGCGGGGAUCGAACAGGAUUAGAUACCCUGGUAGUCCGCGCCGUAAACGAUGGAUGCUGGGUGUCCGGGGCGUUCAGGCCCUGGGUGCCGGAG
rnacentral:rRNA from 1 species